UACGUAGGGGGCAAGCGUUGUCCGGAUUUAUUGGGCGUAAAGAGCGUGUAGGCGGCUUGACAAGUCUGCUGUGAAAAUUCGAGGCUCAACCUCGAGCUGUCGGCGGAAACUGUCAGGCUAGAGUCCGGAAGAGGAGAGUGGAAUUCCUGGUGUAGCGGUGAAAUGCGCAGAUAUCAGGAGGAACACCGGUGGCGAAGGCGGCUCGUCUGGACGGUGACUGACGCUGAGACGCGAAAGCGUGGGAGCAAACAG
rnacentral:rRNA from 1 species